rnacentral:rRNA from 1 species
GACGAACGCUGGCGGCGUGCUUAACACAUGCAAGUCGAACGGAAGGGCCUGCUUUCCCUUGUGGAUUGCGGGUACUCGAGUGGCGAACGGGUGAGUAACACGUGAGUGAUCUGCCCCCAACUUGGGUAUAAGCCUGGGAAACUGGGUCUAAUUCCCGAUAGGACUGCAGGGUGGUGCCUGUGGUGGAAAACGAUUUUCUAGUGGUUGGGGAUGAGCUCGCGGCCUAUCAGCUUGUUGGUGGGGUAAUGGCCUACCAAGGCGGCGACGGGUAGCCGGCCUGAGAGGGUGGACGGCAACAUUGGGACUGAGAUACGGCCCAGACUCCUACGGGAGGCAGCAGUGGGGAAUAUUGCACAAUGGGCGGAAGCCUGAUGCAGCGACGCCGCGUGGGGGAUGACGGCCUUCGGGUUGUAAACUCCUUUCGACCGCGAGGAAGCCACCUGGUUGGAAGGGUGGUGACGGUAGUGGUAGAAGAAGCACCGGCUAACUACGUG